rnacentral:rRNA from 1 species
AACGAACGCUGGCGGCAGGCCUAACACAUGCAAGUCGAACGCUCCCUUCGGAGGGAGUGGCAGACGGGUGAGUAACACGUGGGAACCUACCCCUUGGUACGGAAUAACUGAUGGAAACGUUAGCUAAUACCGUAUGAGCGCUGAGGCGGAAAGAUUUAUCGCCAAGGGAUGGGCCCGCGUAGGAUUAGCUAGUUGGUGGGGUAAAGGCCUACCAAGGCGACGAUCCUUAGCUGGUCUGAGAGGAUGAUCAGCCACACUGGGACUGAGACACGGCCCAGACUCCUACGGGAGGCAGCAGUGGGGAAUAUUGGACAAUGGGCGGAAGCCUGAUCCAGCCAUGCCGCGUGAGUGAUGAAGGCCCUCGGGUUGUAAAGUUCUUUCGCCUGUGAAGAUAAUGACGGUAGCAGGAAAAGAAGUCCCGGCUAACUCCGUGCCAGCCGCCGCCGUAAAAC